CCUACGGGAGGCUGCAGUUAGGAAUCUUGGACAAUGGACGCAAGUCUGAUCCAGCCAUGCCGCGUGAGUGAUGAAGGCCUUCGGGUUGUAAAGCUCUUUAGCCGAUGUCUGUAGUCGGAGAAUAAGCCCCGGCUAACUUCGUGCCAGCAGCCGCGGUAAUACGAAGGGGGCGAGCGUUGUUCGGAAUCACUGGGCGUAAAGCGUGCGUAGGCGGCGAUAAAAGUUAGAAGUGAAAGCCCAGGGCUCAACCUUGGAAUUGCUUUUAAAACUAGAUUGCUCGAAUCUCGGAGAGGAUAGCGGAAUUGUCAGUGUAGCAGUGAAAUGCGUAGAUAUUGACAGGAACACCAGUGGCGUAAGCGGCUAUCUGGCGGUAUUGACGCUGAGGCACGAAAGCGUGGGGAUCAAACAGAUUAGAUACCCUUGUAGUC
rnacentral:rRNA from 1 species